rnacentral:rRNA from 1 species
AGAGUUUGAUCAUGGCUCAGAAUCAACGCUGGCGGCGUGCCUAACACAUGCAAGUCGCACGAGAAAGGGUAGCAAUACCUGAGUAAAGUGGCGCACGGGUGAGUAACACGUGACUAACCUACCCUCGAGUGGGGAAUAACCUAGAGAAAUCUGGGCUAAUACCGCAUAACACUUACGAGUCAAAGCAGCAAUGCGCUUGGGGAGGGGGUCGCGGCCGAUUAGCUAGUUGGCGGGGUAAUGGCCCACCAAGGCGAUGAUCGGUAUCCGGCCUGAGAGGGCGCACGGACACACUGGAACUGAAACACGGUCCAGACUCCUACGGGAGGCAGCAGUGGGGAAUUUUGCGCAAUGGGGGAAACCCUGACGCAGCAACGCCGCGUGGAGGAUGAAAUAUCUUGGUAUGUAAACUCCUUUCGAUGGGGAAGAUUAUGACGGUACCCAUAGAAGAAGCCCCGGCUAACUUUCGUGCCAGCAGCCGCGGUAAUACGAGGGGGGCAAGCGUUGUUUCGGAUUUAUUGGGCGUAAAGGGUGCGUAGGCGGUUUGGCAAGUCUGAUGUGAAAUCUAUGGGCUCAACCCAUAGUCUGCAUCAGAAACUGCCGGGCUUGAGUAUGGGAGAGGUGAGUGGAAUUUCCGGUGUAGCGGUGAAAUGCGUAGAUAUCGGAAGGAACACCUGUGGCGAAAGCGGCUCACUGGACCAUUACUGACGCUGAUGUACGAAAGCUAGGGGAGCAAACAGGAUUAGAUACCCUAGUAGUCC